rnacentral:rRNA from 1 species
UACAGAGGGUGCAACGUUAUUCGGAAUUACUGGGCGUAAAGCGCGCGUAGGCGGCUUUGCAAGUCGGGUGUGAAAUCCCCAGGCUUAACCUGGGAACUGCAUUCGAGACUGCAUUGCUAGAGUAUGGGAGAGGGAAGUGGAAUUUCCGGUGUAGCGGUGAAAUGCGUAGAUAUCGGAAGGAACAUCAGUGGCGAAAAGCGACUUCCUGGACCAAUACUGACGCUCAUGUGCGAAAGCGUGGGGAGCAAACAGG